GAUGAACGCUGGCGGCGUGCCUAAUACAUGCAAGUCGAGCGAAUGGAUUAAGAGCUUGCUCUUAUGAAGUUAGCGGCGGACGGGUGAGUAACACGUGGGUAACCUGCCCAUAAGACUGGGAUAACUCCGGGAAACCGGGGCUAAUACCGGAUAACAUUUUGAACCGCAUGGUUCGAAAUUGAAAGGCGGCUUCGGCUGUCACUUAUGUAUGUACCCGCGUCGCAUUAGCUAGUUGGUGCGGUAACGGCUAACCAAGGCAACGAUGCGUAGCCGACCUGAGAGGGUGAUCGGCCACACUGGGACUGAGACACGGCCCAGACUCCUACGGGAGGCAGCAGUAGGGAAUCUUCCGCAAUGGACGAAAGUCUGACGGAGCAACGCCGCGUGAGUGAUGAAGGCUUUCGGGUCGUAAAACUCUGUUGUUAGGGAAGAACAAGUGCUAGUUGAAUAAGCUGGCACCUUGACGGUACCUAACCAGAAAGCCACGGCUAACUACGUGCCAGCCGCCGCAGUAA
rnacentral:rRNA from 1 species